UACGUAGGUGGCAAGCGUUGUCCGGAUUUACUGGGCGUAAAGAGCGCGCAGGCGGUCGUGCAAGUCGCGUGUGAAAGCCCCCGGCUCAACUGGGGAGGGUCACGCGAUACUGCUCGACUCGAAGGCAGGAGAGGGAAGUGGAAUUCCCGGUGUAGUGGUGAAAUGCGUAGAUAUUGGGAAGAACACCGGUGGCGAAGGCGGCUCACUGGCUCGUAACUGACGCUCAUGCACGACAGCGUGGGGAUCAAACAGG
rnacentral:rRNA from 1 species